rnacentral:rRNA from 1 species
AUUGAACGCUGGCGGCAGGCCUAACACAUGCAAGUCGAGCGAGUGGCGGACGGGUGAGUAAUGUCUGGGGAACUGCCUGAUGGAGGGGGAUAACUACUGGAAACGGUAGCUAAUACCGCAUACUAUCGGAUGAACCCAGAUGGGAUUAGCUAGUAGGUGGGGUAACGGCUCACCAAGGCGACGAUCCCUAGCUGGUCUGAGAGGAUGAUCAGCCACACUGGAACUGAGACACGGCCCAGACUCCUACGGGAGGCAGCAGUGGGGAAUAUUCGGCAAUGGACGCAAGUCUGAUCGAGCCACGCCGCGUGAGUGAAGAAGGUUUUCGGAUCGUAAAGUUCUGUUGUUAGGGAAGCGGUACCUACAGAGAAAGCAACGGCUAACUCCGUGCCAGCAGCCGCGGUAAUAC